CUGCGUCUGCCUAUCGUGGCUAAUCAUGGUCUAUCAAGGCCUGUCUUGCGUCUGCCUAUCGUGGCUGUCUGCGUCUGGCCUAUUGUGGCUAUUUAUGUACGGUCUAUCGAGGCCUGUCUGUGUUGGCUAUCAUGGCUAUUUCUGUACGGUCUAUCGAGGCCUGUCUGUGUCUGCCUACUGUGGCUGUCUGCGUGAGGCCUAUCGUGGCUAUUUAUGUUGGUCUAUCGGGGCCUGUCUGUGUCUGCCUAUCGUGGCUGUCUGCGUCUGGCCUAUCGUGGCUAUGUAUGUUCGGCCUAUCGGGGCCUGUCCGUGUCUGCCUAUCAUGGCUAUUUCUGUUGGUCUAUCGUGGCUGUCUGUGUCUGCCUAUUGUUGCUGUCUGUGUCUGGCCUAUUGCGGCUAUUUCUGUAAAAAAAACUUAAGAAGUUCAAUCUAACGUCAUUUAUACUGGUCAUGCUAACUCUCUUUCUAUUUCUUCCAGGAACCUUAGGAUUCACAACUGGUGGGUAUACUUCAUCUAUUUUUUUUGGGGGGGGAAGGUUGGCCCCGUCUGGAGGUCUCAUAAUCCACCUAAUUUUGGGGGUCUGCUGCGCCCCUGCCUUCGUCUUCAGGCAGGAAAUGCAGAUUCGCUACCCUCGGAUUACGAACCAUGGACGGGGCCUUCCGCCAAAGAAAUUUAUAAUUGUGCUCGCUGAGCUGUCAAUAAAUGUAUGCUUCGUACAUUCCUCUAUCUCCCGAGUCUUUCUGGUAGAACUAAAACCAGAGGAAAUAUUGUAAAUGAGGAAAUCUCAAGAUGGGAUGUUUUAUCUACCGAAUCUGUAGAUUAUUUAAGAAUGAGAUUUCCCAUUCACAAUAUUCACAAUCAUUUGUCACUCGAUAACUGUAAUGAACCAGGUAAAUAAAAAAUUGUAAUAAGAAAAAAUAAAAGCAUUAAGUUAGAAUUUGCUCAACAGUUAAAACUGUCACGUAUGCUGCCUCUUGCUAGCUGAAGUAUGAUUGUUCAAGGAAGUGCAUUGUGCAGCUACGUUGCAGUAUGGACUUUCUUUCUAAAUGCUGUAUUGUAAUAUGCUUUAUCUUAUCAUAAGAGAAAUGAUGCUAUGCAGUUUGGUCUAGAAAUAGUUAUUAGCUUGGCCUACGCCUUUAAGAUGUUUUUACGGGCUAAUAUUAAAACUAGAGAUGGAUUAAUUUGCUUUAAGGAAAUAAAAACUGCAGAAAUUACUUCAUAUGAAUGUGUUCUAAUAGAGGUUGCUAUGAAAGUGAAACGUCAUACUUCCUGUAUCCAUAGCAACCUGUCUAUGAGUGUGUGCAUGCGGAUGUGUGAGUGUGUUCACAAAAAAUCAUGAAAAAAGGACGUGUUGUUUUUGUGACUAUAUAAUGUUAUGAUUUGAACACUUUCAUUUCUGCAGUUCAAGAACAGAAGUCUCUCCUGCAUCUGAUUAAUAACAGAGAUUCUCUGUAUAUGAGGAUGUUCUUGACGGGAGAUUCAGAGACGGACUGAAGCUGGACAAACAAACUGGAUCUCUGACCAUCACAAACAUCAGAAUUGAACAUACUGGACUUUAUACAGUAUAUAACAACACUGUGAGCAAGAGAUUCUGGCUCUGUGUCUAUGAUGAAAUAUCAGUGAAGGAGGGAGAUUCAGUCACUCUGAACUCUGAUCUUACUGAAAUAGAUUAUGAUCGGAUUCUGUGGAGGUUUGAAUACAAUAUAAUAGCUGUAAUCUAUAAACGGGCAAACAGUGUCUCUGUAUUUGAUUAUGUUCUUGACGGGAGAUUCAGAGACAGACUGAAGCUGAACAAACAAACUGGAUCUCUGACCAUCACAAAUAUCAGAACUGAACACGCUGGACGUUAUGAACUCAUGAUCGAUCCUAUGAGCAGAAUGAGGAAAACGUUCUUUCUCAGUGCUGUCAAUGAAGAAAUAUCAGUGAAGAAGGGAGAUUCAGUCACUCUGAACUCUGAUCUUACUGAAAUAAUGAAUGGUGUUACGAUAAAGUGGAGGUUUGGAGCUGAAAUCACUUUAUUAGCUGAGAUCAGUAGAAGGGUUGAUGGAUUCUCUCUAUUUGAUGAUGUUCUUGAUGAAAGAUUCAGAGACAGACUGAAGCUGAACAAUCAAACUGGAUCUCUGACCAUCACAAACAUCACAACUGAACAUGCUGGACGUUAUUUACUGCAUUUAGGACCAAAACAUUUAAAUCUAAACCUGUCAUUAAAAGCUUUCAGUGUUUCUGUCUCUGACUCUGUCCACUGCUGUGGUUCUACUGAAGCUGUGAUCCGAUUGGUCCUCUCUGCUCUGGUGGGCGUGGCUACUGUCAUUCUUCUGGCUUAUGACAUCAGAAGAACUGAACAAAAUCAACCACAGAUUCACACAUCAGGUAUUGAAAUCUGAAGGAGACGCUGAACUUUAAAACUUCUCCGUGUGUGUUUUGUGUGGUUUGAUUAAUAGUUGCUUUACUUGUAUGAUUCAUUAUAUCAGGUUUUCAUAUUUGAUUCAGGGUUUAAGGGCUUUUAAAAUGUAAUUCUAUAAUAAUGUUUUUAUUGUACAGAUGCAGUUUAAAAGCUUGUUGAUUAUAUUUCUCUCAGAUAAGACUCUGAUCUCACUGUACUAUUCAUUUGUUUUCUGUAUUUGCUUGCCUUUAUCAAUAAAGUUU